rnacentral:lncRNA from 1 species
UGCAGUAUGUGUUUGAGAGUGGAUGAACCCAUACCUGAAGGCUCUGGGCUCCAACUACAGCAACGGUGUCAAAUUCACCAUGGCUGGCUCAACGGUGUCCCGCGGCGUCUCCCAAUUCCCUGAACAUCCAGGUCGAUUCGUUCGUCUACUACAAGCGCAGAUCCCUAGAGCUCUAAAAUUCCGUAUCAGGGUAUUUUUUCAUCGGUUCUAAAAUUCCCAGAGCAUCAGUCCAACGACGUAUCGGGGUAUACUGUGUUGCUCCUGCAAAUUUUUUGUAUGCUUGUAUGUAGAAAAAUGGUAGAGUUACUGCUUUGAUGUGUCGUGGUGUGAAUGUUGUUGAUGUUCAAAGUUUGUGCAGAGAAAGACUUCAAAAACUCAUGUCGCCGAUGGAAUGAAUUACUAGAAGUUCAAAUUUGCUAAUAUCUACAGUACUGGUAGUUCAUUUUGCUACUAAUCCCGACUGUCUAUAGUUCAUUUUGCUAAUAAAUGUUCUUCUACAUGUCUUUACGUCGGCCGUAGAACAUGUAUUCCUUUUGGAAGUUAAGUCAAUGUAUUUCAUCUCUUUGAUCAGAUUAAUGCUUGAUUUUGGUGAUGGCAAUUUUUAUCUUUGAUAUCCUGAAAUGAGUCGGUAACUUAGAAUUAUUUUUGCUAGCUUUGGAAUUGUAAAAACACAAAAAGUUCACAAUUUAAAAAGUUGUAAGUUCAACAUGACGUCCUAGAUAAGUUUGGGAAAAAAGCUCAAAAAAAAUGAAACCCCAUGGAAAUUCAAAUAGUAAAAGUUCAAGUCGUAAAAUGAGAGAAGUCUAGAACAUCGUUAAAAAAAGGUUAGUUAAAAAAACACACACAAAACAUUUUCUUUAAAAAAAUUGUCAACCAUGCAAGUUCGGGGACGAUGAUAUCAUGAACCGUUGAAGUUGCGAGGAAAAUCAUACAAAAAAAAGAGUAAAGUCUAGUCUGUGAAAACACAUUCAAUACAAAUCCAUACGGACAUCCGUUCAAGUACUUUUUUUUAAACCUUUCAACCACUGUUGUCCCCUGCCUCUUCGCCACACGUCGUGUUGUGCCGGCUUGCCAUCAACCACCGUUAUGGCUCAGCCCUGUAGUGCUUCUACGAUCACCACACGCAAUUUCCUUCUAUCGUUGCCCUCGCCCUGCUCUCCUGCAUAUUGGCAUUGUAAAAACACAGCAAGUUCAUAAUUAAAAAAGUUGUAAGUUCAACACGACGCCCUAGAUAAGUUUGAGAAAAAAGCUCAAACAAAAUGAAACCCAAUGAAAAAUCAAAUGGUAAAAGUUCAAGUCGCAAAACAAGAGAAGUCCAAAACAUCUUGCAAGAAAAUUGAGUUAAAAAAACAAACACACAAAAAAAUUUCCUUUAAAAAAAUAUCAUUCAGUUCAACGAUAUAAACCAUGCAAGUUCGGGGACUAUGAUACCCAAAAAAUAGAGUGAAGUUUAGUAUGUGAAAACAAGCUCAGUACAAACCCAUACGAAUAUCAGUACAAGUACUCUUUUCUCGAAGCCAUUCAAAAUUACUCUGAAAAAUUCCUCAGUACAAACACACACAUAGAUCAGUCCGAAUACUCUGUUUUUCGGACAGAAAAACAACCCAUUGAGUCUCACAUAUUCAAAAUUACUCUUAAAAGAUGGGAGCAAGUACAAAGUAAUAAAGACAUCCGUUCAAGUACUCUUUUUUUGAACCAUUUAAAAACUACUGUCAAAAAUACCUCAGUACAAACACAUACAUACAUCAGUACAAGUACUCUAUUUUUUAGACAGUAAAAAGCAACAUGAUGGGUUUCACCUUAUUCAAAAUUACUCUUAAAUGGUUGCGAAGUAGAGAAAACGUUCAACAUGACUAAGUUUCGCAUUUUCGAUAGUUAUCCAACGGUAUAUUAUUUGACCCAUUUCGACAAACUUAAAAAAAAA